rnacentral:misc_RNA from 1 species
ACAAACUUGGUCAUUUAGAGGAAGUAAAAGUCGUAACAAGGUAACCGUAGGUGAACCUGCGGUUGGAUCAUUACCGAAAGAUAAAGGCGUCUGACGUUCUUUUCGUCGGAUGAUUGCCGAAAGAAAGGCCGGAAAUGGGACUUUGUGGCCCUUUCCGGCUUUUUCGUUAAGAUGUGUCUGCGGCAGAUGCGAUGACGUGUUUACGUCUGCGUCCAUCUUUUCCCAGCAUAAUGGGAUAAAAGGUGAAGGGUGUCAUUGACAUAUCAUCUUGUUGCCGCAGAAAGACCGCCCUGAUACUUUGAGGGACGGUCCUAUAUAUCCUUCUUAGGAAACAGAAUCUCUCUGCCCACCCGGAAUACGGAGAAGCGAGAGAAGAAAUUUGGAGAUUUUGAAAAAUAAAUUCAAAACAACUUUUGACAACGGAUCUCUUGGCUCUCGCAUCGAUGAAGAACGCAGC